rnacentral:rRNA from 1 species
UUAGAGUUUGAUCCUGGCUCAGGAUGAACGCUAGCGGCAGGCCUAAUACAUGCAAGUCGAACGGGAGGCCCCUCCGGGGGCCGAGAGUGGCGCACGGGUGCGUAACGCGUAUGCAACCAACCCCCGACAGUGGGAUAGCCGGUGGAAACGCCGGGUAACCCCCCAUAGCCCUGGUGGAGGGCAUCCUCCGCCAGGUAAAGCCGAGAGGCGGUCGGGGACGGGCAUGCGUCCCAUUAGCUGGUAGGCGGGGCGACGGCCCACCUAGGCGACGAUGGGUAGGGGAUCUGAGAGGACGGUCCCCCACACUGGUACUGAGACACGGACCAGACUCCUACGGGAGGCAGCAGUAAGGGAUAUUGGGCAAUGGGGGCUACCCUGACCCAGCCAUGCCGCGUGAGGGAAUGAGGCCCUACGGGUCGUGAACCUCUUUUGCACGGGGAUAACGGCGCCCACGUGAUGGGCGCGUGCAGGUACCGUGCGAAUAAGCAUCGGCUAACUCCGUGCCAGCAGCCGCGGUAAUACGGAGGAUGCGAGCGUUAUCCGGAUUCAUUGGGUUUAAAGGGUGCGCAGGCGGCGCGACAAGUCAGCGGUGAAAUCCGGGGGCCCAACCCCCGAAGUGCCGUUGAUACUGCCGCGCUGGAAUGCGGUCGAGGCGGGCGGAAUGUGGCGUGUAGCGGUGAAAUGCAUAGAUAUGCCACAGAACCCCGAUAGCGAAGGCAGCUCGCCAGUCCUGCAUUGACGCUCGGGCACGAAAGCGUGGGGAUCGAACAGGAUUAGAUACCCUGGUAGUCCACGCCGUA